rnacentral:rRNA from 1 species
UUGAACGGUGCGUACAACGCUCCGACCGCGACCCCAG